rnacentral:rRNA from 1 species
UACAGAGGUCUCAAGCGUUGUUCGGAUUCAUUGGGCGUAAAGGGUGUGUAGGUGGCGCCGUAAGUCGGGUGUGAAAUUUCGGAGCUUAACUCCGAAACUGCAUUCGAUACUGCGGUGCUUGAGGACUGGAGAGGAGACUGGAAUUCAUGGUGUAGCAGUGAAAUGCGUAGAGAUUUGGAGGAACACCAGUGGCGAAGGCGACUUUCUGGUCUGUAACUGACACUGAGGCGCGAAAGCGUGGGGAGCGAACAGG